GUCUCCCUCCCCCUCUCUCUCUCUCUCUCCCUCCCUCCCUUCCAUCCACACACACACACACACACACCACUACAGUAUAUCAGCUAGCGACUACCGGAGAGCCAGAGGGGAGUGCAGAAAUGAAUGUGAAGAUCCUGACGCUGGUGAUUGUGCUCUUGGUGUCUCUGCUGUGUUCUGCCAGUGCUGGUCCCAUCAUGGACUCCACAGAGCAUGGCACAGCACUAGAACAGGUGGGCGGCGUGAGAAGGCUGGUCCAGCAGAACCCCGGCAGGGGCAGCCAGAGCCACAGACCAGCCGGCUGGAAGAGGAGACGCCCACGACCUCGUCUCUCCCACAAGGGCCCCAUGCCGUUCUAGAGCAAAGCACUGCUUCGACCGCCCACCCCCAUGUUCUGAUUUCUAUGCUCUUCCUUUGCCUUGUGGGGCCUUGCAACGAAGGGGCCUACGCUUGCCCAGCCUGAAGAGUGAUGUCCUAUAGCACCUGCUGGUUCUUCAAGCAACUCUUUUCUGUCCACAAAACUAUCAGGACACGUCUAUCACCCUCAACUCUAAGAAGAAUUGGGGGCAGGGAAAGGGGGGGUGGGGGGGUACUGAGCCCAAGCUAUCAGAUUCUAUUUCUCCAUCUCUCUCACUCACUCCCUUGCUCCCUAUCUCUGCCUCCCGCCCACCCCCACCCCACCCCACCCCCAAGUGUUUUUGAUCAUUUGCUUUCUAGAGCCCUGUCAUACAGUAGCUGGUCUCCUCUGUGUCGCACACUUUGCAUGACGUGUGGUGGUUGACGGGGAGCAUGGUUCCAGUCUUAGACUUAAAGCCUCAGUCACUUCUCCAUGGUGUGGUAUUCCCAUCCUCUCAGAUCCAAGGUGACCACAGUCGUUAGUUCCAUUACUGUGCAGCUACUUCUGGCUUUACUAAUGAACAGGUGAUGAUAGUGAGGAAAGGCAGUGGUAGAGUUCCAAAAGUUGACUUCUAUAUGUUUCGAGUUAGGCAGAUCCAUUGAAGCCAGGUUAGGAAAUUCACCCAAGAUAUUGUCACCUACAGUAUCUGCAGCAAAACUCAAUCUGAGGUUUUCCUUAUAGAAACUAGAGAAAGGCCAAAAUCAUUACCUUUUUAUUUGAUGUUCAUUUUGGCAAAAUAUGUUAAGUUAACAAAAAUUGGACCAGAGUGAGGAUUCAAUUUCACCGUUCGAAACAGCACAUAUAAUCAAAACAAUCUGCUGUAAGCAUCACAGUAAUUAUUUCACCUGGGAGGUUCUUUAAUCCAAAGCUCUUUUAGGGGGUUAAGCAAUUUUCCCAAGGUUACAGACACCGUGUCCCAGCUGGGAUAAGAGUCCUCUGAUCCCAAAUCCCAAUCCCAUUCCCAAUCCCAUUCCCAAUCCCCGGCCCCCAGCAGCUGCUCUACACGACUGUUAACUGGCAGGACUGGUCUGGUCUGCUUUUGAACAACAGACUCCCUCGCCUUUUAAUGAAGUGCCAAAUAAUAACCUACUCUACAACGCUGCCAGGAAGCAAGGAACGAAAAGGAAGAAAGAAAAGAGAAACACAUGACCUCUUGUUUGUAGUCUGGGUUACUCACAUGCAUUACUAUACAUUUCUAUACACAAGACAAAUCCCAAUUAUAGGCAGUGGUAGCAAGGAGGACAGUUCAAUUAGACCAAAAACACUUUUUCAAGCAGAGACAUGCUGUCAGCUCAGUAAAUAUACCACCAUGUUCUGCCUACCAAUAGUGCUCUCUUCUCUGACUGUUUAGCGCGAGACUGGUUUCGACCCUUUGACCGAGAUCUUUGAUUGACGGAAUGUGCUAUGCCUUUCCAUCGUACUGGAAUAAUAUUACUGUUUUGUUCAAAUGUUUUUCUAUUUUCAUUCAUUUUUUUCUCAGGGUGCUGUGAUAGAAGCCUGUACCAGAGCAAUCUCUCUUUUGCGCAUUUAUUUAAGAAACACAAACAUUUCUAUUUGACAAGCAUAUUGCCAUAUACUGUAUCUUUGCCCUCCCUGCCUAUGUACCACUAUAGCCAUGUAUCCAGACUCAGUCCUUGCUUAGUCAUUUUGGUUCUUUAGCCCCCUGUUGGGUACAGUUUAGUUCACGCUUCCACACACAGGUGGUCAUGGCUUUGAUCAUGAUGUUCAUUAAAUCCCAUGGCUAAUCUCUCUCAGAUGGGCCCUUCCCCUAGGCUGGGGCCUCUCACAGGCUCAGCUUAUUGUCUAAUUGGUUUAGAUUGGAACCACACCCUUCCCCUCUCUACAACCAUAAACCCCUUGUAGAUCUAUCUAACUAUGUAACACGCUGCAAUUGGGACCUGUAGAGCAGAUGCCAUCCAAUCAGCAUCCAGUUUGCUAUUAGGUGUGGGAGGGAUGUUGAAAACCGGUUUUUCGGUUGGUCUCUUAAUCCAAAUAUGGUUUCAACUACAGUAAGAAUGACUUUCACUACUAGACUGUUACCAAUCAUCCAACAAAAAUGGUUUCAUUGUGGCCAGGAGAGGAAAUUGGAACUUAGUUUUGUAACCGGCUUGGUUUCAACCUAGAGUUCCAAUAUGUUACCUUCCCCCAUUGCUAUUUCUCUCCCAGAUUGGAAUUGAAAAGCAGUUUCCCAGCAACUCUCCCUCCCAUCACAAGAAGCUCUUAAUAAGAGAGCAUCUCAAAUCACAGUGGUAACUCACCCAUACAAGCUCGCCUUGAUUAAACAUGUAUUAAAUCUUAGGGCACUGUGAAGUAAUAAUUUUGGUCACACAAUGAUUAUUUCAUACCCUCUCAGACAAAGAUGUAGAUUUCAUUAAUUCUCCUUUGAAAUGAGACUCCUUUUGCUCAGGGUGUCUCAACUAGUAUUAUACAGAGAGAGAGAGUUAGUAGGGGUAGGAGAUGGGGGAGAUGGGGGAGAGAGUUAGUAGGGGUAGGAGCAGGGGGAGAGAGUUAAUAAGGGUAGGAGCUGGGGGAGAGAGUUAGUAGGGGUAGGAGCAGGGGGAGAGAGUUAAUAAGGGUAGGAGCUGGGGGAGAGAGUAGGGGUAGGAGCAGGUGGAGAGAGUUAGUAGGGGUAGGAGCUGGGAAUGGGCAUUCUAAGCCACAGGAGUUGGGCUGGAUUGGGUCAAAAUAAGGGGUUUAUAAAUCACUAUUUUCCUUUCUGAGAAGCAAGUGUUAUAGGAGCCGAGCAAUGUCUGUAUCCACACUGUUCUUCAUGAAUGUAUACCCACCAUCUGCACCAGCCAAGCUGCCCCUCCAGGGGAGUUGAGCAAACCCAAUAUUUAUGUGUAGAGUACAAUUUGAGUCUUGGUCUCCCCAAACUGCCCACAUUACUGCUAGUCCACCCUGAUGAUGGUUAUCAGAUGGAUCCAAACUUCCAAAGACAAAUAUCACAUGAUCCAAAGCCUCCCAAUAUCAAUGACCUCCAUCAAUCAUCUGGCUUUGGUCCAAGACUUCUCUGUACGGGCACGCAAGGCUGCACUUUUGAAAUUCCAUUAUGCUGCUGGAAAAAUAAACCCUGAAAACAAGUCUCUUCUUGAUAUGAAAUGGCUUUCCAGUGUAUUGUGACAAUUUUUUUGUCGUCUGAUUCUUGUCUAGCUGGUUGUCCAAAGCUUAUUUUUUUAAUGCAGUGUGGAAAAUAGCUGUUUCUUUUGUGGUCGUAAACAAAAUAGAAAAUGUAGUCUGCAGAACAAUACGUCAUGGACACGUGAGAGCUUUCGCGCAUUCUCCUCCUAUAGAACAUAGCCUACAGCCCUACAGCCCUAACCAUAUCAGGUUAAUCGAGAUUGUAUAGGGACAAGCUCAAACUGAAAUGGUAAACCAAUACAUUAUGCUCCAAGAGCAAAAAACAUUUUCCUUAAUGGUCUUUUCCAGCAAAGCUUACGCAAGAAACACUAUUCUCAAUCCUCUUCUUCAUUACAUCACAAGGCCUGAGUAAUGUUCCUAUGCACUUGUUAGCAUGUCCCACUGGUAUUUGUUCCGAGAAGGACGCACCACUUUUGUGUUCAGCACCUUUUCCACUUGUCAAAAUUGUGCAUUUGGCUGGGAGUGUGUACGGAGUAGGAAUCAGCAGAGGGCUAAAUGUGUAGGACUGGCAGGGACAAGAAAAGGGAGUCUAGUAGCUAGCAAGCUAGUGAUGAAAAUGCCAGCUUAGCCAGGGGUCACUGUCUCGCUCCAGCUGUAGGCAGUCCCCAUAACCAGUCAGUCGAAACCACUAGGUUUUUAAUCUUCGAUGUUGCUGUCACUUUCUCUCAGCUCUUGACAAGCUACAGUAAAUCCCCUUUUCAAACGUAACAUGACCCGCCAAGGAGAAAGAAAAACGACUAGCUAGCAUGCAAUACAUUCCAUAGUUUUACCUUAUGCAUCUAAGCCCUAUAAUACAGACAGAUUGAGGGUGUCUGCAGGAUCAAGCCCAAUGCAUUCACACAUUUCCACCGGCUGGGCCACCCAAAGGAUAACUAGAUUUCCCAUGGGACUUGAGAAUGAUCUGUCAUUAUCUCACAGACUCAAAUGAGACCUUCAGACUUCAGAAUAGAGAAGGCUCCUCCUCCCAUUGAUUGGAUCCACCACCAAUACCAUUCAGACAGUCGAAGUAGAGUUCCAGAGUGUGUAGGCUUAUAUGCCAUUGCAACAGUGUUACUUACUAGGUCACAAGCAAACUGCAGUUUAAAAAAUGUAUUACAGCUGAACUUCUUCACUUCUGUCUAAGGUGUGUGCUCAUAUUACUCACCAGGCCAAAUGUACAGUCCCUGUCUCUGUUUUGAUGUUGAACUGGACAAAAAAACAAACAUAAAUAAAUAAAUGAAUUAAACAACU